rnacentral:rRNA from 1 species
GCUAAGAAUAUUCCGCAAUGGACGAAAGUCUGACGGAGCGACGCCGCGUGGAUGACGAAGGCCGAAAGGUUGUAAAAUCCUUUUGUUGGGGAAGAAUAAGCCUGGGAGGGAAUGCCCGGGUGAUGACAUGAACCGACGAAUAAGUCCCGGCCAACUACGUGCCAGCAGCCGCGGUAACACGUAGGGGACAAGCGUUGUUCGGAAUUACUGGGCGUAAAGGGCAUGUAGGCGGUUUGGUAAGCCUGGCGUGAAAGCCCACAGCUUAACUGUGGGAUUGCGUUGGGUACUGCCGAGCUUGAGUCGCGGAGAGGAAGCUAGAAUUCCAGGUGUAGGGGUGAAAUCUGUAGAGAUCUGGAAGAAUACCGGUGGCGAAGGCGAGCUUCUGGCCGAUGACUGACGCUGAGGUGCGAAAGUGUGGGGAUCAAACAGGAUUAGAAACCCCGGUAGUCC